rnacentral:rRNA from 1 species
CGUGAAACUGCUUAGAGGUUAAGCCCGAUGAACCUGAAUAUCCAUUAUGGAAAAUUCAACAUUAAUAUUAUAAUAUUUAUUUAUAAAUAUUAUAAAAAUAGUGUGCAAUUUUUCCAUAUAAGGACAUUGUAAUCUGUUAAUGUUAUAAAUAUUUAUCAUAAGAUUCAGUAUAUAAAAGUUUAUUCAAAUUAGUUAUUUUCCGAUUUCUAACAUAGAAUAAAUUUAAUUGAAUUUGAUAAAUCAUUGACAGAUUUAUUUAUAUAUAGUGCUUAAAUUCUUAAUUGAAUUUUACAAUAAUUUAUAAAUGUAUUUUCAUUUAUUUAUUUAUUGUAUGCACUUAUAUGAUUAACAAUGCUAUAGAUUCAGGAUACCUUC